AAUGAACGUUGGCGGCGUGGAUUAGGCAUGCAAGUCGAGCGAGAACCCCGCAAGGGGGGACAGCGGCGAAAGGGACAGUAAUGUGUAGAUUAUCUGCCCUCAGGUCCGGGAUAGCUGCGGGAAACUGCAGGUAAUACCGGAUAACAUCUCCGGAUCAAAGGUGUGAUUCCGCCUGAGGAUGAGUCUGCAUCCUAUUAGCUAGUUGGUGGGGUAAUGGCCUACCAAGGCAUUGAUGGGUAGCAGGUGUGAGAGCACGACCUGCGUCAUUGGGACUGAGACACUGCCCAGACAACUACGGGUGGCUGCAGGCGAGAAUCUUCGGCAAUGGGCGCAAGCCUGACCGAGCGACGCCGCGUGUGGGAUGAAGGCCUUCGGGUUGUAAACCACUGUCAGAGGGGAUGAAAUGCAGGUGGGUUCUCCCAUCUGUUUGACAUAGCCUCAGAGGAAGGACGGGCUAAGUUCGUG
rnacentral:rRNA from 1 species